AAGGAGCAGCAACUGGAAAAUAAGCAUUGCAUUGCAUCAGGAUGUCUAUGAAAUGGACUUCAGCUCUUCUGCUGAUACAGCUGAGCUGUUACUUGAGCUCUGGGAAUUGUGGAAAGGUCCUGGUGUGGCCCACAGAAUUCAGCCAUUGGAUGAAUAUAAAGACAAUCCUGGAUGAGCUUGUCCAGCGAGGUCAUGAGGUGACUGUAUUGGCAUAUUCACCUUCCAUUCUUCCUGGUCCCAACAACCCAUCCGCUCUUAAAUUUGAAAUUUGUCCGACAUCUUUAACUGAAACUGAGUUUGAGGAUAGCGUCACACAACUGGUUAAGAGAUGGUCAGACAUUCCAAAAGACACAUUUUGGCCACAUUUUUUACAAGUACAAGAAAUGAUGUGGACAUAUGGUGACAUGAUUAGAAAGUUCUGUAAAGAUGUGGUUUCUAAUAAGAAACUUAUGAAGAAACUACAGGAGUCAAGAUUUGAUGUUGUUCUUGCAGAUGCUGUUUCCCCCUGUGGUGAGCUGCUGGCCGAGCUACUUAAAUUACCCUUUGUGUAUAGCCUCCGCUUCUCUCCUGGCUACGCGAUUGAAAAGCAUGGUGGAGGAUUUCUGUUCCCUCCUUCCUAUGUACCUGUUGUUAUGUCAGAAUUUAGUGAUCAAAUGAGUUUCAUGGAGAGAGUAAAAAAUAUGAUCUAUAUGAUUUAUUUUGACUUUUGGUUUCAAGCAUGGGAUACGAAGAAGUGGGGUCAGUUUUACAGUGAAGUUCUAGGAAGACCUACUACAUUAUUCGAGACAAUGGCAAAAGCUGAAAUAUGGCUUAUUCGAAACUACUGGGAUUUUCAAUUUCCUCACCCACUCUUACCAAAUGUUAAGUUAGUUGGAGGACUCCACUGCAAACCUGCCAAACCCCUACCUAAGGAAAUGGAAGAGUUUGUACAGAGCUCUGGAGACAAUGGUGUUGUGGUGUUUUCUCUGGGGUCGAUGAUCAGUAACAUGUCAGAAGAAAGGGCCAACGUAAUUGCAUCAGCACUCGCCAAGAUCCCACAAAAGGUUCUGUGGAGAUUUGAUGGGAAAAAACCAGAUACCUUAGGAAUCAAUACACAGCUGUACAAGUGGCUACCCCAGAAUGAUCUUCUUGGUCAUCCAAAAACCAGAGCUUUUAUAACUCAUGGUGGAGCCAAUGGCAUCUACGAGGCGAUCUACCAUGGAAUUCCCAUGGUGGGCGUUCCAUUGUUUGCAGAUCAGCUUGAUAACAUUGCACACAUGAAGGCCAAGGGCGCAGCUGUUAGUCUGGACUUCAACACAAUGUCGAGUACAGACUUACUCCAUGCACUGAAAACUGUAAUUAAUGACCCUUUGGGGUCUCACUCUGUCACCAGGCUGGAGUGGAGUGCAGUGGUGUGAUCUUGGCUCACUGCAACCUCCCCGUCUUGGGUUCAAGUGAUCCUCCUGUCUCAGCCUCCCAAGUAGCUGGGACUACAGGUGUGUGCCACCAUGCCUGGAUAUAAAGAGAAUGCUAUGAAAUUAUCAAGCAUUCAUCAUGAUCAACCAGUGAAGCCCCUGGAUCAAGCAGUCUUCUGGAUUGAAUUUGUCAUGCGCCAUAAAGGAGCCAAACACCUUCGGGUUGCUGCCUACGACCUCACCUGGUUCCAGUACCACUCUUUGGAUGUGAUUGGGUUCCUGCUGGCCUGUGUGGCAACUGUGAUUUUCAUCAUCACAAAAUGUCUGUUUUGUGUCUGGAAGUUUGUUAGAACAGGAAAGAAGGGAAAAAUAGAUUAAUUAUGUCUGAGGUUGGAAGCUGCAAAAUCCGAUAAAUGAGACUCCUUCAGUUUAUUACAACAAGAAGAGGUCGUGAUACAAGAUUCCUUUCUUCUUGUCAUAAAACAUCUUUCAAAAUUUACCUUUUCAAGUCUAAAUUUCUUUUUUAGAGAUUUAGUACCUGUUUAACUAUUAGAAAUAUUUCACUUCAAGGAGGAAAACAUUAGGGAAAAUAAAAAUGAUAUAAAGUCAUAUGAGCUUAUAUUGAAAUUUAUUGAGCUUAUAUUGAAAUUUAUUGUUUUACUUCACAGUUUAUAUGAAAAAAUGUACUA